GCCAGGCAUGGUGGUGCAUGCCUGUAAUUCCAGCUACUUGGGAGGCUGAGGCAGGAGAAUCGCUUGAACCCAGGAGGUGGAGGUUGCAGUGAGCUGAGAUUGUGCCAUUGGACUCCAGCAUGGGUGACAGAGUGAGACCCUGUCUCCA
ensembl:misc_RNA Metazoa_SRP Metazoan signal recognition particle RNA